rnacentral:rRNA from 1 species
AGUGGCAGACGGGUGAGUAACAUGUGGGUAUCUACCCCUUGGCCUGGAAUAACACGAGGAAACUUGUGCUAAUACCGGAUAAGUCUUUACGGAGAAAGCUUUAUGCACCAUUGGAUGAGCCCGCACUUGAUUAGUUUGUUGGUAGGGUAAUGGCCUACCAAGACUAUGAUCAAUAGCUGAUUUGAGAGGAUGAUCAGCCACAUUGGGACUGAGACACGGCCCAAACUCCUACGGGAGGCAGCAGUGGGGAAUCUUGCACAAUGGAGGAAACUCUGAUGCAGCGAUGCCGCGUGAGUGAAGAAGGCCUUUGGGUUGUAAAGCUCUUUCGUCGGGGAAGAAAAUGACUGUACCCGAAUAAGAAGGUCCGGCUAACUUCGUGCCAGCAGCCGCGGUAAUACGAAGGGACCUAGCGUAGUUCGGAAUUACUGGGCUUAAAGAGUUCGUAGGUGGUUGAAAAAGUUGGUGGUGAAAUCCCAGAGCUUAACUCUGGAACUGCCAUCAAAACUUUUCAGCUAGAGUAUGAUAGAGGAAAGCAGAAUUUCUAGUGUAGAGGUGAAAUUCGUAGAUAUUAGAAAGAAUACCAAUUGCGAAGGCAGCUUUCUGGAUCAUUACUGACACUGAGGAACGAAAGCAUGGGUAGCGAAGAGGAUUAGAUACCCUCGUAGUCCAUGCCGA